GCGCGCCGGACUGAUACUCUCAGCUGUCGCGGGAUCUUGGUGAAGUUUUAAGUGUUUUACGCCACAGAUCGUGGAGUUUGGGGUCGUUUUUCUCCAGGUUCCGUGGGUCUGGUUUUGGACUUCACGAUGUACCACAACAGUAGCCAGAAGCGGCAUUGGACGUUCUCAAGUGAGGAGCAGCUGGCACGACUGCGGGCCGACGCCAACCGUAAAUUCAAAUGCAAAGCGGUGGCGAACGGGAAGCUAAAGGUUCUUCCAAAUGAUCCAAUCUUUCUGGAGCCUCAUGAAGAAAUGAUGCUGUGCAAAUACUAUGAGAAAAGACUGUUGGAAUUCUGUUCGGUGUUUAAGCCAGCAAUGCCAAGGUCUGUUGUGGGUACAGCUUGUAUGUAUUUCAAGCGUUUUUAUCUUAAUAACUCAGUAAUGGAAUAUCCCCCCCGGAUAAUAAUGCUCACUUGUGCAUUUUUGGCCUGCAAAGUAGAUGAAUUCAAUGUGUCUAGUCCACAGUUUGUUGGAAAUCUACGGGAGAGCCCUCUUGGACAGGAGAAGGCACUUGAACAGAUUUUGGAAUAUGAAUUACUUCUUAUACAGCAACUUAAUUUCCACCUUAUUGUCCACAAUCCUUAUAGGCCAUUUGAGGGCUUUCUCAUUGAUUUAAAGACUCGCUAUCCCAUGUUGGAGAAUCCAGAGAUUUUGAGGAAAACAGCUGAUGACUUUCUUAAUAGAAUUGCAUUGACAGAUGCUUACCUUUUAUACACACCUUCCCAAAUAGCCUUGACUGCCAUUUUAUCCAGUGCAUCCAGAGCAGAAAUUACUAUGGAAAGUUAUUUAACAGAAAGUCUGAUGCUGAAAGAGAACCGAACUUGCUUGUCACAGUUACUAGAGACAAUGAAAAGUAUGAGAAACUUGGUAAAAAAAUAUGAACCACCAAGAUCUGAAGAAGUUGCUGUUCUAAAACAGAAGUUGGAGAGAUGUCACUCUGCUGAGCUUGCCCUUAACAUAAUCACAAAAAAGAGGAAAGGCUAUGAAGAUGAUGAUUAUGUCUCAAAGAAAGCGAAACAUGAGGAGGUAUGUUUUCCAAAGGAAGAAUGGACUGACGAUGACCUGGUAGAUUCUCUAUAACCGAUGGAAACUGAUUUGUCAAUGCUGACUUAACCAACGGAAGGAUGAAGUGUCACUAAACUUUGGCAUUAGAGCAAGGUCCACAUUUCUCUGAAAAAUUUCCUACCCAGCCCUUUAAAAAAAAGUUUUAGAGAUUUUAUUUCAUCAUUGACCAGCUAAUAAUUACUGCAAGGCCUAAAAAGGUAAAUAACAAGUUUCCUAUUCUAGCUUAAAAGAUAAACAUAUUGUCAAGAUAUAAAAAGAGGAUGUCUUUACAUUUGUGGGUUUUUGUUUUUUUUUAAUAACAAGAGUGAGGAGCAUUUCAGCUUGGGAAAUAGCCAGAAGGUCAGUAUGGCUGAAGACUGAGAUGUGAUUUAUGGGAGAGCCAACUUGCCCAGCAGUGGAAUUUGGACCCUUUUGCAUAUUACUGACAUGCUUUUAGAGAUGUCACAAGUCCAUAUCCUUCUGGUCUACUAACGCCAAGGAAGGCGACCAAAUAGGAUACUACUGUGGUAGUCCAGCUAAAAGGCAGGAGGGACGGAUAAGAGAGGAAAGUAAGAGGAUACAAAAGGAUACAGACAAGAAGGGAAAAAAUAGAAUCGAGUUGACAUCAAGGAAAAGGAGGUGGUGUUGAAUGUUUUGUUACGAUUAUUCAACUGUGAUGGCACCCAUGUCUGGUAUAGCUGCCUCCACAGGAAUACAGCAAAGUUUGGAAACCCUCAUUAUUUUUGUGUUUUUUUUCGUAUAUUUUAAACAGCAGUGGGAGACAGUAAAGUGUUGCUCUCAGAAUCUAGGCCUUUAGAAAUUUUUUUCUCAUGGGAAAUGCUUUUCUGCCACAUUUUGUAUGACUUCUCUCUGCUGCACAAUUAUGGUCUUUAAAAAAAGACCAUUAGCUAAAAAAUAUGACUUGAAGAAAUCUUCUCCCUGGGCCUUGCUCUGGUUCUAAAUUUGAACUGCCCUUUAUAAAAGAGGAAGAAAAUAAUGAAAUUAAAUGCUUAGCUGUAUUUAGACAUCAGUAAUUUUCAAGAUAUCCCUUUGUUUUAUUUUAACUUAACUCUUGUGAAUACUUCACAAAAAUACAUAUACAGAAGCAAAUAAAACUAUACAUAACAAACUAAAUAUCCAGCAGAUACAAGUAGUCAGAAGUUCAAAGAUGGAUAGCUGUUAAGAGGCUGCUGAUGAGGUUGUUUUUGAAUAAUUAAAAAAGUUCAACGUGGAAUAAAAGCAUUCUAGGGUUUUUUUCCUUAAAAAAACAUGUAAAAGAAAUUGGUAAUCUAUAAAAUGGAUGAAUGGGUAACUAACCAGUACAACGACCAAUAAUAUUUAUUGAAUUCAAACUAUUUACUGUUGUAAACAUUUAACAGAAGCAUUAUGAAAUCUAAAUACAGUCUUUGAUAAUUCCAACAAAAUAAGUGGUAUGUUUAAAAAAUAAAGCUGAUGAGCAAUAGAUCCAUUCUGUAUAUUUUCUUUCAACAAGUUCCAGCAAGAGAAAUAGCACGGUAUUUUUAAAAAGUAUACAGCAAAGAUUGUUCCCGUUAUAAUGGCAAACUCUGGAAACUGUAAAUACAAAUAGGCAUUGAACAGUCAAUCGGUCAUAUUCCUAAUCAGGAAGGAGUUAUAGAACAGUCUGCAAUCCAGUUGUUUUAUGCUCAGUUGUCAAUAGAGAAUGCUUUUUCUUGUCAGUUGGGUUUAGUUUUUCCUUUCCAAGAGAC